CUCUGUGACUCCUACGGGAGGCAGCAGUGGGGAAUAUUGCACAAUGGGGGAAACCCUGAUGCAGCCAUGCCGCGUGUGUGAAGAAGGCCUUCGGGUUGUAAAGCACUUUCAGUAGGGAGGAAGGUAGUGUAGUUAACACCUGCAUUAUUUGACGUUACCUACAGAAGAAGCACCGGCUAACUCCGUGCCAGCAGCCGCGGUAAUACGGAGGGUGCGAGCGUUAAUCGGAAUUACUGGGCGUAAAGCGCAUGCAGGCGGCCUGUUAAGUCAGAUGUGAAAGCCCCGGGGCUUAACCUCGGAAUUGCAUUUGAAACUGGCAGGCUAGAGUCUUGUAGAGGGGGUAGAAUUUCAGGUGUAGCGGUGAAAUGCGUAGAGAUCUGAAGGAAUACCAGUGGCGAAGGCGGCCCCCUGGACAAAGACUGACGCUCAGAUGCGAAAGCGUGGGGAGCAAACAGGAUUAGACACCCUGGUAG
rnacentral:rRNA from 1 species